GGACUUCCUUGGCAGGGAAGAGACACCAUGAUUUUCCCAGGGUGAGGGUCACACAUUGCACUCUGGGUGAGCUGACCUUUGCGGUUUCCCCAAAUGCGGGAAACACAACUGCAAGAAUCAUUGAGGAAGGAACGUCGUGAUUACUAGAAGUCAACAUGGGUUUCUC
rnacentral:snRNA from 11 species